rnacentral:rRNA from 1 species
GACGAACGCUGGCGGCGUGCUUAACACAUGCAAGUCGAACGGAAAGGCCCCUUUGGGGGUACUCGAGUGGCGAACGGGUGAGUAACACGUGAGUAACCUGCCCUUGACUUCGGGAUAACUUCAGGAAACUGGGGCUAAUACCGGAUAGGAAUCCUUGCUGCAUGGUGGGGGUUGGAAAGCUUCGGCGGUUUUGGAUGGACUCGCGGCUUAUCAGCUUGUUGGUGGGGUAGUGGCUUACCAAGGCUUUGACGGGUAGCCGGCCUGAGAGGGGGACCGGCCACAUUGGGACUGGGAUACGGCCCAGACUCCUACGGGAGGCAGCAGUGGGGAAUAUUGCACAAUGGGCGGAAGCCUGAUGCAGCAACGCCGCGUGCGGGAUGACGGCCUUCGGGUUGUAAACCGCUUUCAGCAGGGGCGAAGCUUGUGGUGACGGUACCUGCAGAAGAAGCACCGGCUAACUACGUG